UGGGGAAUCUUGCGCAAUGGGCGAAAGCCUGACGCAGCAACGCCGCGUGCGGGAUGAAGGCCUUCGGGUUGUAAACCGCUUUCAGCAGGGACGAAAAUGACGGUACCUGCAGAAGAAGCCCCGGCUAACUACGUG
rnacentral:rRNA from 1 species